rnacentral:rRNA from 1 species
UACGUAGGGUGCGAGCGUUGUCCGGAAUUAUUGGGCGUAAAGAGCUCGUAGGCGGUUUGUUGCGUCGGCCGUGAAAACCUGCAGCUUAACUGUGGGCCUGCGGCCGUAUACGGGCAGACGUUGAGUUCGGUAGGGGGAGACUGGGAAUUCCUGGUGGGUAGCGGUGAAAUGCGCAGAUAUCAAGGAGGAACACCGGUGGCGAAGGCGGGGUCUCUGGGCCGAUACGUGACGCCUGGAGGAGCGAAAGCGUGGG